UCCGAGUUGACCCCGGCAGUCUCCCAUGAGUCCCCGGCAUAACCCGCUGGCAACAUAGGACAAGGGUUGCGCUCGUUGCGGGACUUAACCCAACAUCUCACGACACGAGCUGACGACAGCCAUGCAGCACCUGUGCUAGCCCCUUACGGACACGGGCUUUCACCCGCUUUAACCAGCAUGUCAAGCCCAGGUAAGGUUCUUCGCGUUGCAUCGAAUUAAGCCACAUGCUCCGCUGCUUGUGCGGGUCCCCGUCAAUUCCUUUGAGUUUUAGCCUUGCGGCCGUACUCCCCAGGCGGAUCACUUCACGCGUUAGCUACGGUACCAAGGAAUCGCUUCCCCGACACCCAGUGAUCAUCGUUUAGGGCGUGGACUAC
rnacentral:misc_RNA from 1 species